UGGGGAAUUUUGGACAAUGGGCGCAAGCCUGAUCCAGCCAUACCGCAUGAGUGAAGAAGGCCUUCGGGUUGUAAAGCUCUUUCAGACGGAAAGAAACGGUUACGGCUAAUACCCGUGACUAAUGACGGUACCGUAAGAAGAAGCACCGGCUAACUACGUGCCAGCAGCCGCGGUAAUACGUAGGGUGCGAGCGUUAAUCGGAAUUACUGGGCGUAAAGCGUGCGCAGGCGGUUUGGUAAGACAGAUGUGAAAUCCCCGGGCUUAACCUGGGAACUGCAUUUGUGACUGCCAGACUAGAGUGUAGCAGAGGGGGGUAGAAUUCCACGUGUAGCAGUGAAAUGCGUAGAUAUGUGGAGGAAUACCGAUGGCGAAGGCAGCCCCCUGGGCUAACACUGACGCUCAUGCACGAAAGCGUGGGGAGCAAACAGGAUUAGAUACCCCAGUAGUCCCUGAGCGGGCUGGCAAGGCGCAU
rnacentral:rRNA from 1 species